rnacentral:rRNA from 1 species
UGAACGCUAGCUACAGGCUUAACACAUGCAAGUCGAGGGGCAGCAUUUUAGUUUGCUUGCAAACUAAAGAUGGCGACCGGCGCACGGGUGAGUAACACGUAUCCAACCUGCCGAUAACUCGGGGAUAGCCUUUCGAAAGAAAGAUUAAUAUCCGAUAGUAUAUUAAAACCGCAUGGUUUUACUAUUAAAGAAUUUCGGUUAUCGAUGGGGAUGCGUUCCAUUAGUUUGUUGGCGGGGUAACGGCCCACCAAGACUACGAUGGAUAGGGGUUCUGAGAGGAAGGUCCCCCACAUUGGAACUGAGACACGGUCCAAACUCCUACGGGAGGCAGCAGUGAGGAAUAUUGGUCAAUGGACGAGAGUCUGAACCAGCCAAGUAGCGUAAAGGAUGACUGCCCUAUGGGUUGUAAACUUCUUUUAUAUGGGAAUAAAGUAUUCCACGUGUGGAAUUUUGUAUGUACCAUAUGAAUAAGGAUCGGCUAACUCCGUGCCAGCAGCCGCGGUAAUACGGAGGAUCCGAGCGUUAUCCGGAUUUAUUGGGUUUAAAGGGAGCGUAGGUGGAUUGUUAAGUCAGUUGUGAAAGUUUGCGGCUCAACCGUAAAAUUGCAGUUGAAACUGGCAGUCUUGAGUACAGUAGAGGUGGGCGGAAUUCGUGGUGUAGCGGUGAAAUGCUUAGAUAUCACGAAGAACUCCGAUUGCGAAGGCAGCUCACUAGACUGCAACUGACACUGAUGCUCGAAAGUGUGGGUAUCAAACAGGAUUAGAUACCCUGGUAGUCCACACAGUAAACGAUGAAUACUCGCUGUUUGCGAUAUACAGUAAGCGGCCAAGCGAAAGCAUUAAGUAUUCCACCUGGGGAGUACGCCGGCAACGGUGAAACUCAAAGGAAUUGACGGGGGCCCGCACAAGCGGAGGAACAUGUGGUUUAAUUAGAUGAUACGCGAGGAACCUUACCCGGGCUUAAAUUGCAUUUGAAUAAUCUGGAAACAGGUUAGCCGCAAGGCAAAUGUGAAGGUGCUGCAUGGUUGUCGUCAGCUCGUGCCGUGAGGUGUUGGCUUAAGUGCCAUAACGAGCGCAACCCUUAUCUUUAGUUACUAACAGGUCAUGCUGAGGACUCUAGAGAGACUGCCGUGGUAAGAUGUGAGGAAGGUGGGGAUGACGUCAAAUCAGCACGGCCCUUACGUCCGGGGCUACACACGUGUUACAAUGGGGGGUACAGAAGGCAGCUACCUGGUGACAGGAUGCUAAUCCCAAAAACCUCUCUCAGUUCGGAUGGAAGUCUGCAACCCGACUUCGUGAAGCUGGAUUCGCUAGUAAUCGCGCAUCAGCCAUGGCGCGGUGAAUACGUUCCCGGGCCUUGUACACACCGCCCGUCAAGCCAUGAAAGCCGGGGGUACCUGAAGUACGUAACCGCAAGGAGCGUCCUAGGGUAAAACUGAAA